AGAGAGAGACAUGCGCGCAUAUCAAUAAGCGGAGGAAAAGAAACUAACUAGGAUUCCCUCAGUAACGGCGAGUGAGGCGGGAAGAGCUCAAAUUUGAAAUCUUCAAGGUUCUACCUUGACGAAUUGUAGUUUAAAGAAGUGUUUUCUGUUGGAGUUUUGGUAAAAGUUCUUUGGAAUAGGACAUCAUAGAGGGUGAGAAUCCCGUAUUUGACCAUUAUUUCCAGCUUUGUGAUACACUUUCAAAGAGUCGGAUUGUUUGGGAAUGCAGUCCAAAAUGGGUGGUAAAUUUCAUCUAAAGCUAAAUACUGGCGAGAGACCGAUAGCGAACAAGUACCGUGAGGGAAAGAUGAAAAGAACUUUGAAAAGAGAGUUAAACAGUACGUGAAAUUGUCAAAAGGGAAGCGUUUGACACCAGUGUUGUUUUCUCGAAAAUCAAUUAAAAAAGGCAUGAUUUAUGUAAGUUGUAUUAGACUUUAUCAGCUUAACUGCACUCUUAGUUCUUGUCUUUUUUAAUGCACUUUACAGUUUAACAAGUCAACAUCAAUUUCUUUGUUGUAAAAAGGUCAUUGAGGAAGGUGGCUUGCGAUUUCGUAUAAGUGUUUAUAGCCUUUGCCUCUGCAGUCGGAGAGAUUGAGGUCUGCAGCGUAGAUCCUUCGGGGUUAAAUAGCAUUUGUGCUAAGUUAUAGCCUUUCAUAGACAACUUGUUGACUAUGAUCAGUCAUGUAGCUUACUCGCUUAUGCUAUUUUACCUACGCUUAGGAUGUUGAUGUGAUACUGCGAGCA
rnacentral:rRNA from 1 species